GCUUCUAUCUGCCUCGCCGUAAUCCAAGUAGGUUCAAGUGCUUGAAGAGCAUAUCUACCAAAACAAAUACAAUUGCCUCGGUAGGAUUUUCCCUUUAUUCUUCCUCUAUGUUGUUUACGAAAUCUGGUUUGAAGAGCCAAGUCGU